CAGUGUAAAGAAUCCAAAUUACAACCCUAUUUUUCACAUUAUUAUUGCCCCGCUCCAAAAACCACAUCUUUGCCAGGCCUUCCACCCUUGGCUCGUGCAACUUCACCAGCUUUUAUCUCCCUUCUUUGAGCCGCAGUUUUUCCCCGCUCAUCUUUGUAAUCUGACAUUGUGAUUUGUUCACUUGUGCGCUUGUUUUUCUGCUGGAAGAAGAUUUGCUGAAUCAUUGGGGAGGAGGCAAGAGCUCUAGAGGCAGCUGGUGGCCAGUGAUAAAACCACGGCCACAUCCAGUCGUCAGGGUUUGCAGAUGACAGCCCUUCGGUUGGAGGCCUGAGUCACAUUCCCUUCCGAGCUAAGAUUGCUGGAGAUUUUGGGAUUGAGGAAGUGGGGCUGAGGAGGUGGUGCCCCAGAAAUAUAAGUUAUUGAUCCUGUCAACCGCAAGGUGCUGUCACAUCUGGGUGUCCUUUGGAUCUGACUGAUUCACAGUCAAGCUACUACAGGCUGGAUCUAAAUAAGGAGCUGAGGCAGAGAUGUCUGACUGACACACUGGUUCACCAUGUCCACACUCCCAGGAUGGGGCCCUUUCAAGAACAGGAAUGUUCCAUCAUCUCUGACUUCCCCUUCCCCAACUGAGACAAGAGAUAACUUCUACUUUAUAAAGAGAAGAAACCAGCGGACUUGACCACUGCCAAAAAUCCCACCAGAGGUCCUAAUAUAGAAGGGUCUGGGAUAUAAGAUAAAGCCCCAUUGCUUUAAAAAUAUUCAAAAGGAAGGCAGAAUCAAUGGGGUAGGGUUUUCUAACUCAUUUUUCAUGAGGAAGCCUUGAUCCUCAGAGUUGUGUUGGCCAGUGCUGAAUGUGGCUGUUGUACUCACAACUUGCUUAGGAGACCCUGAUGCAGAGAGGAAUUAAACGGCUUAAAGGUUGCUAGUGGCCUGGAGAAGAGCAGAUUACAGGCUGGAGCAGAAACAGCUGUGAGAAAUUUGGCCAGAGAAUGGUGCAGAGACCACAUGACUCAUCUCAUGUAACUUUAGAUGCCUGCAGAUACCAGGCUCCCCAGGGCGAGAAGGAGGUGUGUUGAAGGCAUGAGUUCUGUCCUGGUUUAGAUAUAUGCUUUGGGAGGAGGUAAAUCCCUCCCUAGAUACGUUACUUGCCAGAAAGGGAACGGUUGAGUGACUAGCUCACGUAGGAGACAUCCUGCCCUUCAUCAGUGCUGCAGGUUUCCUGCCUCAUAUCCCAUGGAGGGCUUGGGACAGCACUUGCACCCAGGCAGUCAAGUGUGAUCCCAUCCUCCCAGUACAGGGUCAGGGCUUGCAAUGGGGCCACUUCUCUGUGAAAUCCCCUGAUAUGGGCAGGACCCAAGUCACCACCCUGAACCCAGCCAAAGAGCCAAAGGGAUGUGCAAGGCCCUGGAGUGCCCAGAGGAACAUAGGAAGCUUUAUGAGGUGGGCAGCCCAACGCUGGAUGGAGGAGUUGGAGUCAUCUUCCCUGGUGCAUGCACUGGCAGCGGGAGCUCCAGCAGAGACCGGGGG